GCCCCCUUCCUGCCCAGCCCCUGACCUUUUGCUCUUGGUCGAAGUCAGCUUUCUGCGUGAAGGGGCUUUCGCUCUGGAACCACAAAGUCUGCCAUGCCCUGCGGCCACCGCCCUCUGUAGGUGGAGGAUGGAGAGAAAGAAGGCUGGGAGCCCCACCCAGGUGGCCAUGGGUCCAGUGUUUGCCUCCAUUGAUGUAAAAAUUUGCCAGGAAUUUCACCGCCUUCUGGUCAAAAUUCAUCAUCAGAGUCUCCUGGCUGUCUUCCCCGAGGGCACCACGGAGCUCUGUGACCUCACUGGUAGGCCCUUCUGUUGCUGGGACUCCUGAGGAAGAUGCAUUGUCUGGCCCUGGAGGGGCUGCCCCGGCCCCCACCCCUGGUGGGCCCAUCCCCCAGUAACUAGAUGAUCACUAGGUCUGUCUGGGCCAAGAACUCCAGCCUGCCCAGGUGACUCCUGCCCAGCCCUCUCCCUUCCCCACUAACUUUUCCAGCUUUCUCCCCUCUCCUAGGGUCUCCUGGAAGUCUGGAGUCCACUCUAGCAGGUCUGGGAGAACUGAGGCCUCUUAGCAGAGGGGGUGGAGGGAACAGGACCCAUGGGCAUCCACCAAGCCCUAGGAGAUGCCCAGCUGUGUCCGGCCAGCCAGGACCCCCUGGGGGUAGGAGGGAGGGGUCCAGGAAGGCUCCCUGGAGGAAGAGGAGCCGCCACCCCACCUGGAUUUCCACUUAAGGGAAAAGCAAAGCCACAUCAGAUGGGUCUGACACCAGAGAGCCAGAGCUGGGGUGUGAGGGCCUGCCUCUCACCUGGGGGCACAGAGGCUAGAAGGUGUCACAGAUGGCUGGGCUGCCCGAGCUGCAAAGGAACAGCCAGCCUGUGUGAGCAAGAGUCCGUGUGGGCACCAGGGCCCUCGCUGUGUGGUCUCUGGAGCUGACCACUGGCUGGUCCCAGCCCUGACCUUGGCCCAGAAUCCACCAGGGCAGGGCCAACUUGGGACCCUCCUCCGCCCUCUCUGGAUGCCUCCCCUUCAGCACUGGGCCUGCCAAGCAGACAGAUGGACAUGUGCUUGAGGAAACGCAGGUUUUAUCUGGGCAAGGGGUUCAAGCCCUGUGCUCCAGGGCCCCUGCCCAGAUCGUGCCAGGUUUAGAGUUGACUGGCUGCCAGUGGGACAGAGUGUACUUUGCUGAUGAAUCCCUUGUCAUUGGACAGAUAGACCCCCCCAGGUCCUCCCUGCCCUGUAAUAAACGUUGCCGCCAUGAA